ensembl:lncRNA
GUGAAAAAACUGGGGGAAAGGGGAAAUUGCACGGAAACCCGAGGUGAAGUACCAUAUUUCAUUAUACGUUACCGCCCUUUUGCUAAUAUACAUAUGAUUUCAAUCACGCGUGACAGUCCUGCUUAGACCGUAUAGGGUCAAAGGAGAAUGAAAGCCUGGUGUCUGCCCAAGAGGGAGGAAGAGGGUGGCCUUCUCCCCUCCCCACUUUUUCUUUGAUUAUACAAGGGUAGCCCUCCUUUUUCUUGGGACUGCACUCCCUUGCCUGCCCACUUGAAUUUCUCACAAGCAUCUCAUGCCAAUAAACUCACUCUUCACCUCUUUGCCUCACACUGAACUCUGUGAUGAGAAAAAAGAACCUGAGCUUCAGAAAAGGGCGUCACAGUGAGAACCAGCGGCUGGAAGUCAGACACGCCGGGUGCUGUCUCUCGCUACCCUCUCGGUCCGCAUCACCUCCACCCAACAGAAGAGGAUGCUGAGGCUCAGAAGCUGUGACAUCCACUCACACAGCACGGCAGUGAUGCUGCAUGCCAGCAAACCCC